rnacentral:pre_miRNA from 1 species
UUUAUACUCCCCCCGUCCCAAAAUUCUUGUCUUAGAUUUGUCUUGAUACGGAUGUAUCUAAUACUAAAAUGUGACUUGAUACAUCCGUAUUUAGACAAAUGUAAGACAAGAAUUUUGGGACGGAGGGAGUAUUUG